rnacentral:lncRNA from 1 species
CAUGAAGGGGCACAAAAAUGUUGUAGACUGUCCGAAAAAUAAAUAAAAACUCUGGUCAAACAGUCAUUCAAGCCUUCAUUGUAUUUCAAGGGUUCAAGGUCAUUCUGAUGGUAGAAUAUAUAUUUCCUGUAAAUAAAAUCUUGAGCAGUGUGUGCCAGUGAUAAUGACAACAGGAAGCUUCGUAUGGAGCAACUACCUGAAAAUACAAGUGAAACUUCAAUGUUUCGAGCGAAGGCAGGUUUGUCUAGAAGUUGGCUACUAACGUCCACACGAAGGCCUUCCCUCGAAAUGUUGAAGUUUUGCUUGUAUUUUUGAUUUUUUCAGGAAUAUAAAUCCCUAUCUAUCCCAAGCUUCCUGUUCCUGUAAAUAGAGUACCACAAUGUACACACUAG